GAUGAACGCUGGCGGCGUGCCUAAUACAUGCAAGUAGAACGCUGAAGCUUGGUGCUUGCACCGAGCGGAUGAGUUGCGAACGGGUGAGUAACGCGUAGGUAACCUGCCUCUUAGCGGGGGAUAACUAUUGGAAACGAUAGCUAAUACCGCAUAAAAGUCGACAUUGCAUGAUGUUGACUUGAAAGGUGCAAUUGCAUCACUAAGAGAUGGACCUGCGUUGUAUUAGCUAGCUGGUGAGGUAACGGCUCACCAAGGCAACGAUACAUAGCCGACCUGAGAGGGUGAUCGGCCACACUGGGACUGAGACACGGCCCAGACUCCUACGGGAGGCAGCAGUAGGGAAUCUUCGGCAAUGGGGGCAACCCUGACCGAGCAACGCCGCGUGAGUGAAGAAGGUUUUCGGAUCGUAAAGCUCUGUUGUAAGAGAAGAACGAGUGUGAGAGUGGAAAGUUCACACUGUGACG
rnacentral:rRNA from 1 species